rnacentral:rRNA from 1 species
AACGAUGAUCCGGUGCUUGCACCGGGGAUUAGUGGCGAACGGGUGAGUAACACGUGAGUAACCUGCCCUUGACUCUGGGAUAAGCCUGGGAAACCGGGUCUAAUACCGGAUACGACCUUUCACCGCAUGGUGGUUGGUGGAAAGAUUUUUUGGUUUUGGAUGGACUCGCGGCCUAUCAGCUUGUUGGUGAGGUAAUGGCUCACCAAGGCGACGACGGGUAGCCGGCCUGAGAGGGUGACCGGCCACACUGGGACUGAGACACGGCCCAGACUCCUACGGGAGGCAGCAGUGGGGAAUAUUGCACAAUGGGCGAAAGCCUGAUGCAGCGACGCCGCGUGAGGGAUGACGGCCUUCGGGUUGUAAACCUCUUUCAGCAGGGAAGAAGCGAAAGUGACGGUACCUGCAGAAGAAGCGCCGGCUAACUACGUGCCAGCAGCCGCGGUAAUACGUAGGGCGCAAGCGUUGUCCGGAAUUAUUGGGCGUAAAGAGCUCGUAGGCGGUUUGUCGCGUCUGCUGUGAAAGCCCGGGGCUCAACCCCGGGUCUGCAGUGGGUACGGGCAGACUAGAGUGCAGUAGGGGAGACUGGAAUUCCUGGUGUAGCGGUGAAAUGCGCAGAUAUCAGGAGGAACACCGAUGGCGAAGGCAGGUCUCUGGGCUGUAACUGACGCUGAGGAGCGAAAGCAUGGGGAGCGAACAGGAUUAGAUACCCUGGUAGUCCAUGCCGUAAACGUUGGGCACUAGGUGUGGGGGACAUUCCACGUUUUCCGCGCCG